ensembl:lincRNA
GUUUGUCACCACAGCAAGACCACCCGUUAGGGGACUGGAGCUCAGAGGGUCCCUGGAGAACAGGACCAACGGUGUCUUUUCAUCAAAGAACGGCAGAACAGCGUCUUUUCACUAAAGAACAAACGACUGGGAGGUGGAGGCAGAUGCUCUGCGUUGGUCUCCUCAGUUACAGACUCGGAAGUUGAGGGCGACUUCGGAGUCACAGAUAUUCGUUGUCACCAAAGUUCCUUGUCUCAGCGACGAGGGGCUGCCUUAGACGUCAGGAUGAGGAGACUUCAAGCUGGGUCAUUCUAUCCUGGUAGAAGGGAAAUCCAGGUAUCGGGUCCUGCAGUGGUCAGCGCUGGCUCAGUCCGACUCCGUGCGAAUCGCCUUGGGUUUGUCCCUUUUGUCGCCGAGGCUCUGGAGAUGCUCAGACCGUAAGUGCCAGACAAAUGUGAUCAAGCACUUUCUUCGCUGCAUAUACCCAGUGUUUUGGCUGGCACCACUGAUCACGGAAUCUUCUAAGUGCAGAGCUGAUGCCAGGCACCACUUGCAUCUCCAGAACUGAGUGCUAAGUAAUCAUAUUUUCUUUAUAAAGUUAGUUUGCCUGAAGAAUUUCAUGGUUGACAAUAAAAAGCACAUUCAAACACCUUCU